rnacentral:rRNA from 1 species
UACGUAGGGUGCGAGCGUUAAUCGGAAUUACUGGGCGUAAAGCGUGCGCAGGCGGUGAUGUAAGACCGAUGUGAAAUCCCCGGGCUAACCUGGGAACUGCAUUGGUGACUGCAUCGCUCGAGUAUGGCAGAGGGGGUAGAAUUCCACGUGUAGCAGUGAAAUGCGUAGAGAUGUGGAGGAAUACCGAUGGCGAAGGCAGGCCCCCUGGGUCAAUACUGACGCUCAUGCACGAAAGCGUGGGGAGCAAACAGG